AUUGAACGCUGGCGGCAGGCCUAACACAUGCAAGUCGAGCGGCAGCGGGAAAGUAGCUUGCUACUUUUGCCGGCGAGCGGCGGACGGGUGAGUAAUGCCUGGGGAUCUGCCCAGUCGAGGGGGAUAACUACUGGAAACGGUAGCUAAUACCGCAUACGCCCUACGGGGGAAAGCAGGGGACCUUCGGGCCUUGCGCGAUUGGAUGAACCCGGGUGGGAUUAGCUAGUUGGUGGGGUAAUGACUCACCAAGGCGACGAUCCCUAGCUGGUCUGAGAGGAUGAGCAGCCACACAGGAACAGAGACACGGUCCAGAAGCCUACGGGGGGCAGAGGGGGGGAAUAUUGCACAAUGGGGGAAACCCUGAUGCAGCCAUGCCGAGUGUGUGAAGAAGGCCUUCGGGUUGUAAAGCACUUUCAGAGAGGAGGAAAGGUUGGUAGCUAAUAGCUGCCAGCUGUGACGUUACUCGCAGAAGAAGCACCGGCUAACUCCGUGCCAGCAGCCGCCGUAAUAC
rnacentral:rRNA from 1 species